GGCGAUGAACCUAGAUAUGCUCAAUUUGAAAAAUACAGUGAUACUGUUUGACAUGUAAUUUCAAAAUGUACAACCAAUUGGCAUGCAAGUGGAAGCUCAUUGAAAGAAUGCGUCGAAAAAGGUGAAAAUCCAUUUUGCCACUUGUAAUGUUGUUGUUUAUGGUGUAUAUUUCAGGAGUCACAUUCCUUGGCAUUGGAAUGCAAUGUGGGUGGUAAACUUCAUGCAAAGAUUAAUAUGUGUUUGAGAUUGAUAGUACACAAAUACCGUGAGGGAAAUAUGAAAAGGACUUUGAAAAGAGAUUUAAAAGAGUUUGCAGUUGCUGAACAAAAAACAAAUAGGAUGUCCACGAUUGAGCAGAUUGUUGAACCUCGGUUUGCUUCAAUUGCUAGCAUGUGUGUAUUCAAUGAUUCUAUCUUUGUCUACCAUACCAUUCUCAGCGUAUCAUGACACUUGCAUGUGCUUCGUGUUUUUGCUUGCGAGCUAAUGACAACACCUGCUUGAGAAUGGUAUGCCAAGUGUUCAUUGUGCUUAGAGUCUGCAUGGUGCUAUUGUUAAGCUGCAGGUUUGACUUGUGCUUU
rnacentral:rRNA from 1 species